UGGGGAAUCUUGCACAAUGGGGGCAACCCUGAUGCAGCAACGCCGCGUGAGCGAUGAAGCCCUUCGGGGCGUAAAGCUCUUUCGACCGGAACGAUAAUGACGGUACCGGGAGAAGAAGCUGCGGCUAACUACGUGCCAGCAGCCGCGGUAAUACGUAGGCAGCAAGCGUUGUUCGGAGUUACUGGGCGUAAAGAGCUCGUAGGCGGUUUGUCGCGUCUGCUGUGAAAACCCGAGGCUCAACCUCGGGCCUGCAGUGGGUACGGGCAAACUAGAGUGCGGUAGGGGAGAUUGGAAUUCCUGGUGCAGCGGUGGAAUGCGCAGAUAUCAGGAGGAACACCGAUGGCGAAGGCAGAUCUCUGGGCCGUAACUGACGCUGAGGAGCGAAAGCAUGGGGAGCGAACA
rnacentral:rRNA from 1 species